rnacentral:rRNA from 1 species
GAGUCGAGCGAGAACCCGCAAGGGGGACAGCGGCAAAAGGGGUAGUAAGGCGUAGGUAACGUACCCUCGGGACGGGGAUAGCCACGGGAAACUGUGGGUAAUACCCGAUGACCUCAUCGGACGUGACUGUCUGGUGAGCAAAGGUGAGAUUCCACCCGGGGAGCGGCUUACGUGGUAUUAGCUAGUUGGUGAGGUAACGGCUCACCAAGGCGAAGAUGCCUAGGGGGUGUGAGAGCACGACCCCCACCAUUGGGACUGAGACACUGCCCAGACACCUACGGGUGGCUGCAGUCGAGAAUCUUCGGCAAUGGGCGAAAGCCUGACCGAGCGACGCCGCGUGCGGGAUGAAGGCCUUCGGGUUGUAAACCGCUGUCAGAGGGGAUGAACUGCGGAGAGGUACUCCUCUCCGUUUGACAGAGCCUCAGAGGAAGCACGGGCUAAGUAUGUGCCAGCAGCCGCGGUAAUACAUACUGUGCGAACGUUAUUCGGAAUCACUGGGCUUAAAGGGUGCGUAGGCGGCUUGCUAAGUAGGGUGUGAAAUCCCCCAGCUCAACUGGGGAACUGCGCUCUAAACUGGCGAGCUGGAGUGAGAUAGGGGUGCAUGGAACUUCCAGUGGAGCGGUGAAAUGUGUUGAUAUUGGAAGGAACGCCGGAGGCGAAAGCGAUGCACUGGAUCUCAACUGACGCUGAGGCACGAAAG